CGUGCCAGCAGCCGCGGUAAUACGGAGGAUGCAAGCGUUAUCCGGAUUUAUUGGGUUUAAAGGGUACGUAGGCGGAAGAUUAAGUCAGUGGUGAAAUCCUGCAGCUUAACUGUAGAACUGUCAUUGAUACUGGUUUUCUUGAAUGUAGUUGAGGUAGGCGGAAUGUGUAAUGUAGCGGUGAAAUGCUUAGAUAUUACACAGAACACCGAUUGCGAAGGCAGCUUACUAAACUGCGAUUGACGCUGAGGUACGAAAGCGUGGGGAGCGAACAGGAUUAGAUACCCUGGUAGUCCACGCUGUAAACGAUGAUCACUCGUUGUUGGCAAUACACCGUCAGCGACUGAGCGAAAGCAUUAAGUGAUCCACCUGGGGAGUACGACCGCAAGGUUGAAACUCAAAGGAAUUGACGGGGGCCCGCACAAGCGGAGGAACAUGUGGUUUAAUUCGAUGAUACGCGAGGAACCUUACCUGGGCUUAAAUGUAGAACGACGGAUCGGGAAACUGAUCUUUCUUCGGACGGUCUGCAAGGUGCUGCAUGGCUGUCGUCAGCUCGUGCCGUGAGGUGUCGGGUUAAGUCCCAUAACGAGCGCAACCCUCAUCAUUAGUUGCCAGCGGGUAAUGCCGGGGACUCUAAUGAAACUGCCGGUGUAAACCGAGAGGAAGGUGGGGAUGACGUCAAGUCAGCACGGCCCUUAUGUCCAGGGCUACACACGUGUUACAAUGGUCGGUACAAAGGGCAGCUACCUGGUAACAGGAUGCUAAUCUCGAAAACCGGUCUCAGUUCGGAUCGGAGUCUGCAACUCGACUUCGUGAAGCU
rnacentral:rRNA from 1 species